CACAUUCUCUGGGUGUUUUUUUUUCUUUUUAAACAUUUUCCCGCGUGUCCAUUUCUUAUACUAACAGGUCCAGCAUUGUGUUGUUUUUUUACGAAAGUCAAAAAUAAGUUCUUUUGUUUUGGACACGUUAAGCACAAAAGAAUUGUCAUCGCACCAUUGAAAAAAUAGUUAUAUUUCAGUCCUGUAAUCAGACUCAUCGUUACGAAGGAUCCAGCCAGCUGAGGUAUCAUCAGAGUAAUUCACAACAGAACAAGUUCUCGUGUUGCGACGAUAGUCACUGGCGUAGCGGCACAACACAACCUUAUGGCACUCCGCUACUCGUGUAGAUCAGGUCGGGGAGUGAACUGCCAAUGAUGGUCUCCCUUAGAGGUCAACUGAAGUUUGUAGCUAAAUCUCAAAUGGACGUUUAUCAACUAUGCAUUCACCGCAUAUGACCACGAUGGUUCACUGCCUACAACACAGCUGCAACAGCAAGAACAUGUGGGCUGUCAGUUCAGGGAGCUUGAUGUUGCCCUUAAAGAUUGACGAUGAGGCUGAUCAGGUUGUCGACGUGGAAUUUGACAAACUGGAGAUGAAACUUGGAGAGGAGCCAACUUGAUCUUGAAGACUGAUGAGGAUUUGUGGAGAACACAUUUAAAACUGGACUUCCCUCUUUUGGGCAGAACGUUUUCAAAUCAAUCACAAGUCAAAUCACAAGUCAAGUCAUGAAUAACAGAGGAGGAACAACGUUUGUUUGAUUUAAUUUGACUUGAGAUUGAGACUGGAUGACUUGUGAUUGGCUUGUGAUGACGUGUGGUGACAGAUUAACUCAAGGUACAAGCUUAAUGGCACUAAACUGUACAAUGACACCACCAAAGAUCAGGCCUGUGCCAAUGAGAACAAAGAAAGCUCUUUUACAAUGUAAAAUGCAACAUAGUCGUGAGUUAAAUGUGUCAUUUGAGCCUUAUUUGUUUGGCCAUAAGAGGUCAUUUGAAUGCAAACUUGCAAAUUCACACAUUCAUUAUUGAAACAAUUGCCAAUGAAACAUCAACUGCGCCAAUCAAAUGUCAUUACUCAUGGUCAAAUGUCAUGGGUAAUCAUAGACUGGUUCCUCCAUUGUCCUUCGGACUUCAAAUGUAGGGACAGGUAGCUAGCAAUGAAUCCCGAAUACAUUAGGAUGUUUUCCACCUAAUGUAUGCAAAUUCUAUGCAGGACUGGUCUCUCUGAUUCCCGCCCCUGAAUACAAAAUCACAAUGAUAAUUGGAGCGUGGAACCAGCCUAUUGCGAAAUGGAAACAUCACUUACGUGCAAUUUGUGUGGUGAUGAGCUUCAACUUUCACUGAAUUCGAAAGAAUCUCUGGCAACUAAGAGAGGGGCACUAUUUUUCAGUAUUUGAAACCUAUCAUGCCUAUGCAGUUGAAAUGCUUGAAAGUUGGCUACGUGGAGACACUGGCAAUUUUUGCC